CCUCCUGUCACUGAGAGACCUGUCAACUGUCACUGUGGGCUGAAACCAGGGGAACAAACACGACGAGAGAAAAGAAGAAGAGGAAAUUAAAAGAUGGGAGUAAGGGAAUUUAUGGGCUAAUUUUUUUUUAAAAGAUGUGAAAUGGAAAACGAAUGACCCAGGGUCAUUCUCAACCAGCUCAGAGAAGAAGAGAGGAGAGACUCAGCAGCAGCUUGUAGAGGACAGCGGAGCAGGUGACACAGGCUGGUGAGAGGCUGUGACCCAAACACUCUCACACAGGCAUGCUUCAGAGGAGGAGGAGGAGGAGGAGGAGGAAGAGGAGGAGUGAGGCUGUGGAAUGCAGCCCUUCUGGAUGUGCUGCGUGAAAAGUGACGCCACCGAAAGUGAUGGUGCAGAAUGCAGCAGCUCGUCUUCUGACCGGGUCACACAGGUAUGAGCACAUAACUCCAGUGCUCUCCUCUCUUCACUGGUUGCCUGUUCAUGCAAGAGCAGAUUUUAAAGUGUUGCUGUUGACUUUUAAACAUUUUAAUUGCACUGCACCCUCCUAUCUCGCCGACCUGGUGGACCCAUAUGUGUCUGCUGGUCUUUUAAGUGUCCCUAAGGUCCGGAAGAAGACUAUUGGUGAUCGGGCCUUCCCCACUCUAUAGAACAGUCUCCUUGUUGACAUUAGAUUAGCAUGUUCGGUUGAUGUCUUCAAACCCACUUGUUUACUGUUGUUUACUGCUGAUGUUUCUUAUGAUGUGUUGUGUCUUUGUAUAAUAUAUGGUGUCUCACUGUUCUUGAAAUCUGCAACUGCUUUUAAGCUUUAUAAAGCACUUCAAUUGAAA